rnacentral:rRNA from 1 species
GACGAACGCUGGCGGCGUGCCUAACACAUGCAAGUCGAGCGAGUGGAGUUCUUCGGAACAAAGCUAGCGGCGGACGGGUGAGUAACGCGUGAGGAAUCUGCCUUGGAGUGGGGAAUAACACAGUGAAAAUUGUGCUAAUACCGCAUGAUGCAAUUGAGUCGCAUGGCUCUGAUUGCCAAAGAUUUAUCGCUCUGAGAUGACCUCGCGUCUGAUUAGCUAGUUGGUAGGGUAACGGCCUACCGAGGCGACGAUCAGUAGCCGGACUGAGAGGUUGGCCGGCCACAUUGGGACUGAGACACGGCCCAG